GCCAUGGCGCCACUCGUUCACGUACCCGUACCCGUACCUGAAGCCGUCUCGUUAGCGUCUUAACUUUUGUAUUUGCAGUCGGCGUCACACUCAGUUGUCACUGGUACUGUAAUUAUGUGACAGUACAUUGGCAAUGGACAGUGAGGACAGGUAAGUGACAGUCAAUGACAGACAGGUGUCGCUGCAGUCAAAGUGUACAGGUGGCGGGAAGGUCGAGACUCCAGUGACUUGCACGACACGUGACCUUACCUGGCACACAGCCGGCGACACGAGGUCCGGGUAGACACGGGUAGACAGGCGAUGUGACCACAGACAGGAAACAUCUAGCGAAUCAGUGAACCUCAUACUGACAGGACCUGCAGCUCUGACAGUGGAGUUUGUCACCUGCGACAUUCACACGUUAAUCGUCUUCCUGGUCCAGCGGUGCCUUGACCCUGCUCACCUGUACUACGUAUGGCGACAACAGGUGACACACAUAGCUUCCAGCUGAACUUGCUUCUUCUGCUGUGUGGCGUAUGGGGAACACAAGGAAUUAGGAUAAUCAACUGUAACAACAACAAGGUAGAAAUAUUUGAAGACUCACCUGCUCCAGUCACGUGUGGAGACAUCCCUGGUACAUCCGAUGUUGUCUGGCGACUAGGAGACGGAGUCAACAUCGGAGAGUGUAAAGCUGACGGUACCUGCACCACUGCCUUAUACAACGACUACAGACUCAGCAGGUUACCGCAGUCCACGGAGAGUCAGCUGACCCUUGUCCCUGAUUACCGACGUCACGCGGGUGUCACGGUCGUGUGUCAGGACAGAAACAGUGGCUCAAUAGUCCCAGCAUCCUGUACUCUCGUCAUCAGACGUCACUCUGAGCUCAGUGAGUGUCACGUGACCACCAACCCUGUGGACGGGACUGUGUCAGGUUCAUGUCGUGUACAACAAGCUUUCUCCUCUGAUAACAUCUACACCUGUACAUGGACACGGAAUGAUGGUCAGCAGACAUUUGGAGGGUUGGAUGCCAGUCGUGAGCUGUGUUCGUUCACACAAGCUCUGCCACAAGCCGGGGGACUGUACACCUACAGCAUUUCUGUGUCUCCUCCUGCUACUACAGCCUUUUCUCAGCAACUGACACUGGGGGCAGGAAAUGUCAGUGUUGUCUCGACAACAGACACCGUAUUCAUCAUCGCCGGCUCUCAUCGGACCAAUCGUCGGCGGCAUUGUCGCUGCGGUUGUCAUUGUCAUCAUUGCCUGUUUGCUUGCUAUUUUCAUCAGGCGACAAAGACGACACUUAAAAAAUGAAACAGCUCAAUAUCUGAGAGAAAGUGAGGAGGUGAUUGAAGAACCGCCACAUUUAACUCCCCCUACUGAUAACCAUGGUUACGAAGAUGUCCACAUCAGAAGCUCAAAUGAGGAAACUGCAACAACACAGCUGAGAGAGGCGGACAUGUAUGAGAACACACAGAGACUCGCAGACCAAACCUACGACACACCGGGCAGGGACAUGAUGAACAUCAGUACUCAGAUCUUCAGGUGAAGGCCACGUAGUGAGUCAAUGGCACACACAAAGGCAUGUCGAACAUCAUCAGGCCAGCAUCAUCGACGUCAGUGUUUAAUCAAAAUGUGACAAUCGUUGUGAAAACAAUGUUUUCGUAAACUUCAUCUUUUCAUUAUUUUUCUUGGUUUUAACAAAACUCAUUGUUUUCAUAGCGGAUUUUUAAUAAUUUACUGCUAAAAAUGGAUUGGAGCUUAACUCAAUCGUCAAUUGGAGUGCUAUAUAUUUUUUUGUUUAAUUUUUUAUUUUAAACACUGUUGGGUUUUUUUUAAUCCUUACAGUACUAAUUCCUUCAAAUACUAAGAGGAACUUUCUAUCAGUACAGAAUAUAUUGAACAUAUAUGAGUUCUAUAGAAAUUGUAUCGGGCAAAUUUAUUUUCAGCUGCGUGUCUGCUGGACCUGCGCGAAGCAAGAGUGUGACACCAACACUAUAGCCCUAUGCUAGUGAUCACAUGACAACGUGUUAAUUCGUGAAAUCAAAGUAACUAAAGUUAUAAUAUAUAAUAUUUGCUGAUCAGAGAUCCUGAGGUUGAUAUGGAAACGGGAAAAGGAUGAGCAAAGACUUAGGAUGCCUGUCUGUGUGUGUGUGUGUGUGUUAUUUAUGACACAGUGUUGUCUUAUUAACUAACGAUUGUUGACGGGGAGGAUGAAGCUGAAGAAGGAGAUACUAUUACAUUCCUUUUUGUUGUCAUACACCAUACUCACACUAUGAAACGUGUGCAAAAUAAAUAAAUAACAUAAGCGACGGUUAACAUCAUUCGCAACACAUGACGCAAACAUGUAGAAAAAUGUAUAGUUUUGAGUUAGUCUUUAAUAUGAUGUUUAAUGUUAGUUUUAAGGGUCUAAUAAAAAGUAGAAAAAAUCUUAGAAGAUGCCUAUUAUAUAUUGAUGAUUUAAUUUGUUAAAAAAAGCAUUGAAAUAUUUAUCCAUCUAUUUUUGACAUGUCUACCUAAAUAUGACUCCGUGUACAUUACAUACCAUUGCCUGGUCUAACAAACAA